rnacentral:rRNA from 1 species
UGGGGAUGACGUCAAGUCCUCAUGGCCCUUAUAUCCAGGGCUACACACGUGCUACAAUGGCCGGUACAAAGGGUCGCAAUACCGCAAGGUGGAGCUAAUCCCAAAAAGCCGGUCUCAGUUCGGAUUGGAGUCUGCAACUCGACUCCAUGAAGUCGGAAUCGCUAGUAAUCGCGUAUCAGCAUGACGCGGUGAAUACGUUCCCGGGCCCUU